AGGAGCAAAGUGCUACAGAGACUGUCCACGUGUCACUGUCCACACCUAGCUACAGGUGGCCCUGAAGGCUACAAGUGACAGCUACAGGUGACCCCGACGACUACCAGUGACUCUGAAGGCUACAGGUGACCCCGACGGCUACAGGGGACCCCGACGGCUACAGGGGACCCCGACGGCUACAGGGGACCCCGACGGCUACAGGGGACCCCGACGGCUACAGGGGACCCCGACGGCUACAGGGGACCCCGACGGCUACAGGGGACCCCGACGGCUACAGGGGACCCCGACGGCUACAGGGGACCCCGACGGCUACAGGGGACCCCGACGGCUACAGGGGACCCCGACGGCUACAGGUGCUGUCGGCUACCUUCUCUCUGGUGGCACAGCUCGUGGUAGUGUUGCCUCAGCUUGGUG